rnacentral:rRNA from 1 species
AGCGAACGCUGGCGGCAGGCCUAACACAUGCAAGUCGAACGAAGUCUUCGGACUUAGUGGCGGACGGGUGAGUAACACGUGGGAACGUACCUUUUGGUUCGGAACAACUCAGGGAAACUUGAGCUAAUACCGGAUGAGCCCUUAGGGGGAAAGAUUUAUCGCCGAAAGAGCGGCCCGCGUUAGAUUAGCUAGUUGGUGAGGUAAAGGCUCACCAAGGCUACGAUCUAUAGUUGGUCUGAGAGGAUGAUCAGCCACACUGGAACUGAGACACGGUCCAGACUCCUACGGGAGGCAGCAGUGGGGAAUAUUGCACAAUGGGCGAAGGCCUGACGCAGCCAUGCCGCGUGAAUGAUGAAGGUCUUAGGAUUGUAAAAUUCUUUUACCAGGGACGAUAAUGACGGUACCUGGAGAAAAAGCCCCGGCUAACUUCGUGCCAGCCGCCGCCGUAAAAC